rnacentral:lncRNA from 1 species
GCUUAGUAAACGAAACACGAAAUAAACUUAAACGACGAUCCAAUGGUCAGAUUCUAAAAUAAAGAACAUCCAACGGUCGGAUUCUAAAAUAAAGACGAUCCAACGGUCGGAUCGAAAUCAUAUGAUGAUCUAACGGUCGGAUCCUCACGGAUCGCCCUUAGGAUCAUCCUCCAAAAUUAUCACGAAGAUCCAACGGUCGGAUCUUCCUGAACCGUCCUUAUAAACAUCUCCACAAAAUUCCAUGAAAAUCCGACGGUCGGAUUCUCACGAAUCGCCUUCCGAAUCACUAUUUCACAAAUAUACGAAGAUCCAACGGUCGGAUCUUCGCCCGUGACCUCACAAAGUCACCGGGACAGUCAUACGAUCAACAUAUUAAAAUUUGAAGUAAAACCGAUGGUCUGAUCUUCACAGAUCGUAAACCGAAGAUAAAACGUAAAACCGUUAAAACGUAAAUCCACUAUUUAUCAACUUUUUCUAAAAUAACCUUGUAAUAUAUCAAAACGCUCGUAUGGAUGCGUAGAUCAUCGUCCAGAUAAUAUAAACUCAAAAUAUGGUCCGACGCGCCGCCACAAGCGGUGGUCAGUGGGUGGUCAACACGGCGGUCAACACGGAGGUCAACCACCUCCG